rnacentral:rRNA from 1 species
AUUGAACGCUGGCGGCAGGCUUAACACAUGCCAGUCGAACGGUAGCAGGAGAAAUCUUGCUUUCUUGCUUACGAGAGGCGUACGGGAGAGUAAUGCUUGCGACUCUGGCUUAUGGAGGGGGAUAACUACGGGAAACUGUAUCUAAUACCGCGUAAUAUCCUCGGAUUAAAGAAUUGGACUUUUAGCCAUUCGCUAUAAGGUGAGCCCAAGUGGGAUUAGGUAGUUGGUGGGGUAAAGGCCUACCAAGCCGACGAUCUCUAGCUGGUCUGAGAGGAUGACCAGCCACACUGGAACUGAGACACGGUCCAGACUCCUACGGGAGGCAGCAGUGGGGAAUAUUGCGCAAUGGGGGCAACCCUGACGCAGCCAUGCCGCGUGAAUGAAGAAGGCCUUCGGGUUGUAAAGUUCUUUCGGUGGUGGGGAAGGCUAAUAUGUUAAUAGCAUAUUAGAUUGACGUUAGCCACAGAAGAAGCACCGGCUAACUCCGUG